UCUUUCCUUAUCUUCUGAUUAAACGGAUUGCAAGCAGCCAAUAAGAAGACUUGUGUUUUUUGAUAUUUUUCCAUUUCCUUAUGUGCAUACUUAAAGCUGCGUAUUGUUUAUGCCAAAUGCUGAUGUCAGUAUUCUUGGCGCCUGCUGAUUAGGGUUGCUGGCGGUUUGCAGAGGUCUUCUCAGUUCCCAACGGGAGAGAACGCACCAAAAACAAGGUCUUUGUCAGUGCCUUGCAGGGUCUUGCAGGGUUAUUAUUCUGAGCACAAGAUGGCAUUCGUUCAAUAAUCCACAUGCCUUGACUGUGCUUUCACAUUUUGCGUACCCAUCUAGACGUGGCGAGGGGCUGUGCUUUGAGGGGUUGUCUCUUCCGCUUCUUCUUCGCAGAGUACACAUCUUGCCCUCUUACCUUCUACACCAGGACCGGUUUAACUAGUUUAAUUGAACAAUUAUAGGAGGGAAAAAUAUUUUAUUAAAUUUGGGUAUAAAUGGUAACAGAGAAUGAGUACUGAAUAUCUCUAUAUAACCUAAACUACAUGCAGUCACCAUUGAGUAUCCUCUGUUCAUUUCUGUAAUACAAUGCAUAAUUUAGGGGUGUGGGCUUGUUUCUGGCUUUCUCCCGGAGACAUUCUUAAGAUGUUAUGUAUUAUUGUAUAUGGGUGGAUAAUAGGUGAGGACAUAUGCAGAGUGGAUGGUUGAUUCCAGCUGCAGUUUCUACCAAAAUGUAGCUUUUGCUUGCAGAUACUGACUCAUUCAAGUCGCUCUGUCACUCGGCUCGGCUGCUUACGUAUGUUUUUCCUUGAACUUCACUAACGUUGAUUUUACAGGAAUGAGAUUAUUUAUUAGCAUAGGACAAGGCUAAUCAUGGAAGGAUUGUGCUCAGAUGUUUUGCAUAAUUCGUGCUUGCUUCUGCUUUUGAAAGGAUCCUUCAUGCGAAUCACAAAUAUGGCCCACAAAGAAGCAGUUUGUUAGUUCUGGUUCUUCCCUUGCCAAUCAGUUGGAGGAAUUAUUUGCGAAGAGCCAUAUUUAGAUGUUUGACAAGAAUUCUCUAUUGUCAUUAGCUUCUGAACUAUUAUCAAAUUUUUCUGAGCAAGGAUUCUCACAGCCACGUUCUGAGAUUCGAUCAACAGUUUUUAGUUUGUCAUCACCUCUUGCUGAAAUGUACAAAGAUCCAAAGAGUCAAAAGGCACAGCAGAACCAUAUUCCUAAAGAUCAAAAUGUAUUAGAGAGUUGGGAAACACUUAAAUCACCAAGAAAGACGAUAAAUAUUGAAACUCCAAAGUCUUGUUCACCUGAGAUUGGGAUUGCAGAGUCUGUCGGAAGUCCAAAGAUUUCUGUAAUUUGUUUCUACCCAAUAAAUUUUGGUCAAUUCUUCAUUUCAUAUAUAAUCAAUGCCCAAAGAACUUUGAUUCAGGGAUUU